rnacentral:rRNA from 1 species
UGCAAGUCGAGGGGCAGCAUCAUCAAAGCCUGCUUUGAUGGAUGGCGACCGGCGCACGGGUGAGUAACACGUAUCCAACCUGCCGACAACACUGGGAUAGCCUUUCGAAAGAAAGAUUAAUACCGGAUGGCAUAAUUAUUCCGCAUGGGAUGAUUAUUAAAGAAUUUCGGUUGUCGAUGGGGAUGCGUUCCAUUAGGCAGUUGGCGGGGUAACGGCCCACCAAACCUACGAUGGAUAGGGGUUCUGAGAGGAAGGUCCCCCACAUUGGAACUGAGACACGGUCCAAACUCCUACGGGAGGCAGCAGUGAGGAAUAUUGGUCAAUGGACGAGAGUCUGAACCAGCCAAGUAGCGUGAAGGAUGACUGCCCUAUGGGUUGUAAACUUCUUUUAUACGGGAAUAAAGUUAGCCACGUGUGGCUUUUUGUAUGUACCGUAUGAAUAAGGAUCGGCUAACUCCGUGCCAGCAGCCGCGGUAAUACGGAGGAUCCGAGCGUUAUCCGGAUUUAUUGGGUUUAAAGGGAGCGUAGGCGGGUUGUUAAGUCAGUUGUGAAAGUUUGCGGCUCAACCGUAAAAUUGCAGUUGAUACUGGCGACCUUGAGUGCAACAGAGGUAGGCGGAAUUCGUGGUGUAGCGGUGAAAUGCUUAGAUAUCACGAAGAACUCCGAUUGCGAAGGCAGCUUACUGGAUUGUAACUGACGCUGAUGCUCGAAAGUGUGGGUAUCAAACAGGAUUAGAUACCCUGGUAGUCCACACAGUAAACGAUGAAUACUCGCUGUUGGCGAUAUACGGUCAGCGGCCAAGCGAAAGCAUUAAGUAUUCCACCUGGGGAGUACGCCGGC